AUUGAACGCUGGCGGCAUGCCUUACACAUGCAAGUCGAACGGCAGCACGGGGGCAACCCUGGUGGCGAGUGGCGAACGGGUGAGUAACAUAUCGGAACAUACCCUAGAGUGGGGGAUAACGUAGCGAAAGUUACGCUAAUACCGCAUACGAUCUAAGGAUGAAAGUGGGGGAUCUUCGGACCUCAUGCUCAUGGAGUGGCCGAUAUCUGAUUAGCUAGUUGGUGAGGUAAAGGCUCACCAAGGCGACGAUCAGUAGCUGGUUUGAGAGAACGACCAGCCACACUGGAACUGAGACACGGUCCAGACUCCUACGGGAGGCAGCAGUGGGGAAUUUU
rnacentral:rRNA from 1 species